ensembl:lincRNA
CAGGAGGCAUUAAAAAUUAAACAAGAGAAGAGUCGAUCAGCUUCCAAUCUCGGGUUUAUAGACAGGAAAAUGCUUAAUGACAGGUGGUCUCUGUACCAGAGGUGGCCUCUGAGAGACAUUUCUCUUGAUUUUAUUUUUUAAUUAACUUUUAUUUUCAGUAUUUUGUCCCCCUUUUCUGCCCCCAAUGGAAUAAUAUUUAAAUGAUAAAAGGCUCACCGCUGUUUCCAGAGCAGCCCAGACCACCUCUCCACCCAGCUGCAAGGGGAGGGAAUCUUUAAAGAUCACUCUGUUUUGGAAUUCUACUGUUGCCAAGUGGCACACAUGGAUUCUCAUCAUAUGGCUCCCAACUGCAGUUCUUUAAGCUAAAGAGUGCAGUUCUUCACCGCUUCCUUGUGACAGUCUCCUAAUUACCCAUUCUGAGCCCUCUGAAACAGCAUUCCUCCUAGUUAAGGAUCUCUGCCAUCACCGCAAGACACCACACGCUUUGCUGAAAUAGCUGGAGAAUGGGUCCCUGUCUCCUGCCACUUACUCGCCCUGCUCCUGGUUUAUGGCACACCACAUGUGCUAAAGUGGAUUUCUUAUCCUGCUCCAAGUUAGCCAAGAGCGUCUGUACAACCACUGGGAAGUCAACUUCACUUCAGAUCUCGCCUGCACCUCUCCACUCUAUGGUCUGCCCAGGAGCUAAUGGAUUUGGAGAUGUAGCAGACCUGGAGCUAAUUCUAUCCUGCUGCUUAUUAGUGAGGCAGUCUUGGGCAGAGAGAACACUGACUCAGUUGAAAGUGCUCAGAAAGUCUUGACCUCAUAGAAUUCUUGCAAGUAUUAAAUGAGAAAAUGAAUAUAAAAGACUCAGCAGAGCACGUGACAUAAAGUAAGGACUAAAGAAAGAGAGGAUGUUGUUGCUACAAAUAUCACUACCUCCAGUUGUCAAAAUCCUUUCAUCAUGUCAAAAGUUAAUCCAAAUGCAACCUCCAAGGUUAAUGUAUUUGGAAGCGCUCUUUCCCCUCUGAACUGUAGAGCUAAAUUGCAUAGAGGGGAUUUCUCACAUAUAGCUAUUCC